UACAGAGGGUGCAAGCGUUGUUCGGAAUUAUUGGGCGUAAAGGGCGCGUAGGUGGCGGGACAAGCGUGCGGUGAAAGCCUGGGGCUCAACCCCGGGUCGGCCGUGCGAACUGUUUUGCUUGAGCACUGUAGAGGCAGGCGGAAUUCCGGGUGUAGCGGUGGAAUGCGUAGAGAUCCGGAAGAACACCGGUGGCGAAGGCGGUGAGCUGGGCAGUUGCUGACACUGAGGCGCGACAGCGUGGGGAGCAAACAGG
rnacentral:rRNA from 1 species